rnacentral:lncRNA from 10 species
CAGAAAUCAACAUUAUCACAUUGAACUGCAGCCUCCGCUAGAAUCUCACCAGUUUUUCCACUAGUGCAGCUUUUCUGUCCCAGGACCCGCCCCAGGAUACCAGGCUGCACUUCAAAGGAGCCGGUUUUACAAAAAAGCAUGUUGCUUCAAAAGGCAGCUUCAUCCAAGGCAACAGAAGACAGUGAAGCAGAGUACUCAGGAGCCAGCCAGGAGCUCAGGAGACAGGGGAGGGGCUGGAACCCAGCACCGAGGGGUAACCAAAAUAAAAAUUACCGUCCUCCGGAGCCACCAAUGAAAUCAAGAGCAGUGAGUCACUUAGGCCGUCACCUGUCCUGACAGGGUCUCAUUAACUGAAGGGAGUGGGCACCAGAGGGAAACAGCAAGAGGGGACUAUCCAGGAACUCUGCCCUUUUCCUCAUCUCAACUGAGAAAUGUCACAUAUUUACUGGAUUCCAGAAGCUUCUCGACACCGUGAAGAUAAAAAGUCCCAUGUGGCAUAUUGAUUUCUAAGCGAUAUCCUGGUGCAGGCUGGAUAGAUUCUAUUCUGGAGCUUAUCUGGAAGGGCUUUCUCAUCCCCAGCAUCACAGCGGAGACCCCGGCUCACCCUCACAGGUCUUAGCACACCUGCACAGGCCAGCCCUCACUGCUGACCUCUAACUUACUCAUGGUAUGUUGAUCACCUGAGAGAUCCAUUCCACACAACAUUCUCUUCCAGGCUCCAGAGCCAAAGCACGUAAAGUGUCUUGCCCUGAAGUCAGAACCCGGUUAGCAACAGGCUGGAUUAGACUUUAUGGCCUCUCAAGACUAUUGUGUCAUUCCUGGUCCCUGAUUCACAAGCUCUAUCAGCCAAGGCUGGGGGUUGCAGACAUUGCCUCCUACCUUCAGCAGUGAUCACACAGUAGACACCAGCAGACACAAAGCAUGAGGCCAGUUUCAGAGCUUUCUCUAAAACCCUCUAAUCAAAGACAAACAUUCUUCUUCAGAUAAAAAGAAUGAGACAUUCUCAAACCACUUUCUAGAUGGUGAUCUCUUCAUUAUAUUAUCAACACAGGGUUGAAAAGUUAAAUCUCCAUGGCACUCAGUUUUUCCCUUGAGUUUCUCUAUUAUUUAAACUACACAUCCAUUUUCUUUCCCUCUCCCCAGAAACACAAUUAAACACAGUUCUUUGAUUUUUAUUAUUUUAGCAAAAUCUUUUUUCUAUUCUAGAACCUUUUCC